AUUUAAAAAUCAAACAAAGCUGCAUCAAUUUGUACAGAAAUAGAUAGCUGAAAACUACCCUAAUAAACAUUAAAUGAAAGUAAACAAAAACUGCGGGUUUCAUCAACUCUUUAAAUCAUCUCUUAUUAGAAGACUGUCCUCUAAAUUUGAGGUCUUGCAUUUGCCUGCACCAAAAAAAGUUGCUACGCUUUGAAAGCAACCAGGGCUAAUAUAGGAAUGUCUUUUCCCGAUAAAGAAAAAAGGCAGCAAUGCUGGUCUUCUCGAGAUUUAUUCUGGGAAUGUUUAGAUAAAAAUAAUGAUGAUCAAAAAUGUUGUACAGAAGAAAAAAAAUAUUAUGAAAAAGAUUGUCCAAAACUUUGGGUUCAACACUUUAAUAGAAAGAGAGAAUAUUUGAAGUUCAAAGAAAAGCUUUACUCUUCUACUGAUCCUGUUGAAGAAUUGAAAAAAUCAUGACACAACUGAAUUUUAGCACCUAACGGAAAGAUUAAAUUAUAGCAUUUGAAAUGUUAUUCAAGACAUAAUGCUUCGCAAUUGUAAAUUCUGUCUUGUAAUAGAAUGAAUUUUGUCUGA